AGAAGAGAAGGAACAGUGGCAAGAACAAAUUAAUCAGCUAAAGAAACAACUUGAUUUCAGUGUCAAUAUUUGUCAGACUCUGAUGCAAGACCAGCAGACUUUAUCUUGCUUGCUGCAGACUCUUCUAACAGGUCCAUACAGUGUUCUGCCCAGCAAUGUAGCGUCCCCUCAAGUACACCUUAUCAUGCACCAGCUGAACCAGUGCUACACACAGCUAACAUGGCAGCAGAAUAAUGUCCAGAGGUUAAAACAAAUGCUAACUGAACUUAUGCGCCAACAAAAUCAGCACCCAGAAAAGCCUAGAAGCAAAGAAAGAGGCAGCAGUGCCUCACACCCCUCUUCUCCCAGUUUAUUUUGUCCUUUCAGCUUCCCAACACAGCCUGUAAAUUUGCUGAACCUGCCUGGGUUUACUAACUUCCCAUCUUUUGCACCAGGAAUGAAUUUCAGCCCUUUAUUUCCUUCUAAUUUUGGAGAUUUUUCUCAGAAUGUUUCUACACCCACUGAACAGCAGCAGCCAUUAGCUCAAAAUCCUUCAGGGAAAACAGAGUAUAUGGCUUUCCCAAAACCCUUUGAAAG
rnacentral:lncRNA from 1 species